rnacentral:lncRNA from 1 species
AUGGGGGCCGGUGGCCGUGGUGGCCCGGCGGCAGGUGUAGGCACACGGCGGCAGCGGCACCCCGCGACCCUUCAGACCCUUCAGGUAAGGGCGGCCGGGUGGGGGGCUCCCACCACCGCCGUGGGGGCCGAGGAGGCGCCCCCGGGCCGCCGGGCGGAGGGCAGGGAGGCCGGGGGCGGCGGGGCGGGCCGGGGCGGGGCCGUGCCGCUGGCUCCCCGGGCGGCGCUGGGGCCCUGCCAGAACCAUUUUGGUUCGCGGGGUGGCGGCAGCGCAGCCCCCGACGGCCCCAGCGCGGGGCUCCCGCUGUCAAACCCGGCGCGGCAGUCCCCGAAAGGCUUAGUGAAGGGGUGUUCUGCCCGGCUAGGCGGCUGUCGAAAGUGUCUUAUUUAUUUUUAUUUUUUUAAUCUUUUCGGCCGGCUGUCGGAGCGAGGGAAGCGCCUGCGCCGGCUGGGGCUGCGGCGAGCGUCGAGGAUCGCUGGAAGAGUGAAUUUCUCCUGCCCGAGUAACGGGGAACGGGGCAAACCUGCCGCGGCUCCCAGGUGGAGGUGGAUCUUGGAUGAAGAGACUGACCAAAUUAAAAAUAUAUAUGUAUAUAUAUUAAAUAAAGGGAUCUCAGAAUAUGCUUCUGUUUCUGUAUAGAGGAUAUUUUUCUACAUCUCCUGUCCUCCACCUUGGAUUUUGUUGAUGCAUAGUGUUCACCAACAAAUGCUAUUCUGUUUAGAAGACACCUUUUCUGUACCUCCUACAACUAUGGCUUAGGAAGAGUAUCACAGUGCACUUUACUCCUGUCUUAAGGCAGGGUAUGACUGUCUGGUGAUUGCAGAUUUUCAGGGAAUAUGCUGUCUUGAUUAUCAGUUCCUAGACAAUACAGUUUAGUUUUUAUUCCUACGAAGUGGUAGAUACAGAAUGCAGUGCAAGUACCAGGAAAGCACAGAUUUAGAGUAUUAUAUAUAGUGGCCCUGGGUCUUACAAAAUAAAAGUGUGUGUGUAAAGGAUAGUUUGCA